AUUGAACGCUGGCAGCAGGCUUAACACAUGCAAGUCGAGCGGAGCGAGGGUGCUUGCACCUUAGCUUAGCGGCGGACGGGUGAGUAAUGCUUAGGAAUCUGCCUAUUAGUGGGGGACAACAUUCCGAAAGGGGUGCUAAUACCGCAUACGCCCUACGGGGGAAAGCAGGGGAUCUUCGGACCUUGCGCUAAUAGAUAAGCCUAAGUCGGAUUAGCUAGUUGGUGGGGUAAAGGCCUACCAAGGCGACGAUCUGUAGCGGGUCUGAGAGGAUGAUCCGCCACACUGGGACUGAGACACGGCCCAGACUCCUACGGGAGGCAGCAGUGGGGAAUAUUGGACAAUGGGCGGAAGCCUGAUCCAGCCAUGCCGCGUGUGUGAAGAAGGCCUUUUGGUUGUAAAGCACUUUAAGCGAGGAGGAGGCUACUAGUAUUAAUACUACUGGAUAGUGGACGUUACUCGCAGAAUAAGCACCGGCUAACUCUGUGCCAGCAGCCGCAGUAAGAC
rnacentral:rRNA from 1 species